rnacentral:rRNA from 1 species
UACAGAGGGUGCGAGCGUUGUCCGGAAUCACUGGGCGUAAAGGGCGCGUAGGUGGUGGCUUAAGCGUGCGGUGAAAGCUCGGGGCUCAACUCCGGAGGGUCACUGGAAACCAUAAGUCUUGAAUCUGGAAGAGGAGAGUGGAAUUCCUGGUGUAGCGGUGAAAUGCGCAGAUAUCAGGAGGAACACCAACAGCGAAGGCAGAUCUCUGGGACGUUACUGACGCUGAGACGCGAAAGCGUGGGGAGCAAACAGG